rnacentral:rRNA from 1 species
UACGUAGGGGGCAAGCGUUGUCCGGAUUUAUUGGGCGUAAAGAGCGUGUAGGCGGCCAGACAGGUCAGCUGUGAAAACUCGAGGCUCAACCUCGAGACGUCGGUUGAAACCGUCUGGCUAGAGUCCGGAAGAGGAGAGUGGAAUUCCCGGUGUAGCGGUGAAAUGCGCAGAUAUCGGGAAGAACACCCGUGGCGAAAGCGGCUCUCUGGGACGGUACUGGACGCUGAGACGCGAAAAGCGUGGGGAGCAACAGGGAUUAAGAUACCCCGGGUA